rnacentral:rRNA from 1 species
UACGGAGGGUGCAAGCGUUAUCCGGAUUUACUGGGUUUAAAGGGUGUGUAGGCGGUUUCUCAAGUCCGGGGUGAAAGCUUUCGGCUUAACCGGAAAAGGGCCUUGGAUACUGAGAAGCUGGAGGGAGGUAGGGGCCGUUGGAACUUCCAGUGGAGCGGUGAAAUGCGUUGAUAUUGGAAGGAACUCCGGUGGCGAAAGCGAACGGCUGGAUCUCUUCUGACGCUGAAGCGCGAAAGCUAGGGGAGCAAACGGG